CGGACGGGUGAGUAAUGCCUAGGAAUCUGCCUGGUAGUGGGGGACAACGUUUCGAAAGGAACGCUAAUACCGCAUACGUCCUACGGGAGAAAGCAGGGGACCUUCGGGCCUUGCGCUAUCAGAUGAGCCUAGGUCGGAUUAGCUAGUCGGUGAGGUAAUGGCUCACCAAGGCGACGAUCCGUAACUGGUCUGAGAGGAUGAUCAGUCACACUGGAACUGAGACACGGUCCAGACUCCUACGGGAGGCAGCAGGA
rnacentral:rRNA from 1 species